CAAUGGGAGGGCGCGGGGGGCGGAGCUACGGGAGGCCAUGGGGCAGCGCGCGGCGGUGCUGCGGUUCCGCCCCCAAACGGCCCGGAAGUUCGGGGUGAGAGCCAGGCUGCCGGUGCUGCUCCCGGUGGCCGUGGUUGUGGCCGUUCCCUUCGGCUGUUACUUCGGAGCCGCCCCCCCCCAGCGACGGCGGCUGCGGCUGCUGCUGGGGGGGGUGGGGCGGUUCGCCAGGU